ACUCGAGUCUUUGACGCAAGUUGCGCCUGAAGCCAUUAGGUUGAGGGCACGCCUGCCUGGGUGUCACACAUUGUCACCCCAAUGCAAAUGUGCAUUGAGGUGAAAGUUGGCUUCCCGCGAGGCAUUCCUCGUGGUUGGUUCAAAACGAAGUUAAUCGCGAAGUCCCUCGUCAUAAAUGGUGGAUGAGUAAAUCUCGAGACCAAUCGUGACUGUGGUACUUUGGGGAUGUAAUUGGUUGGCUCUGUUGUGUUUUCUGUUCAUGUUGAAGAAGACGCUUUUAUCGAGACCUCAGGUCAGGCGGGGCUACCCGCUGAGUUUAAGCAUAUCAAUAAGCGGAGGAAAAGAAACUAACAAGGAUUCCCCUAGUAACGGCGAGCGAACCGGGAACAGCCCAUCAUGAGAAUCGAUCGCCUUCGGUGUUCGAAUUGUAGUUAG
rnacentral:rRNA from 1 species